rnacentral:rRNA from 1 species
GACGAACGCUGGCGGCGCGCUUAACACAUGCAAGUCGAACGGCAAGGCCUUCUUUCCCUUGUGGAUUGCGGGUACACGAGUGGCCAACGGGGGAGUAACACGUGAUUUAUCUUCCCCCAACUUGGGAAUAAGGCUGGGAAACUGGGUUUAAUUCCCCAAAGGACUGCAGAGUGGUGCCUGUGUUCGAAAACGAUUUUCUUGUGUUUGGCGAUGAGCUCGCGGCCUAUCAGCUUGUUGGUGGGGUAAUGGCCUACCAAGGCGGCGACGGGGAGCCGGCCUGAGAGGGUGGACCGCCACACUUGAACUGAGAUACGGACCCGACUGCUACGGGAGGCAGCAGUGGGUAAUAUUGCACAAUGGGCGGAAGCCUGAUGCAGCGACGCGGCGUGGGGGAUGACGGCCUUCGGGUUGUAAACUCCUUUGGAACGCGAGGAAGCCACCUGGUUGGAAGGGUGGUGACGGUAGUGGAAGAAGAAGCACCGGCUAACUACGUG